rnacentral:piRNA from 1 species
UAAUUUCCUUAUUUGCUGUCCUCCCCCCCC